CUUCAGUGACCCGAGCCAGGGCGAAGAUGACCGUGGAAGGUAGAGUUGGGCAUUGAUGACCUAACACCGAGAGUCAGAGACAAAGACACAAAGAGAAAAACCAAGUAAAUCUAUUUGCUGUCCUGAAGGGUGGAUCUGACUAACGUGCUCUAGCCCUGACUUUCACGGAUUCCUUGCUGUCUGGUGCUGACACUAACUGGUGCAAACCUCCGCAGAAGCCCCUUCCCUGGACAGCCUCUCUGCUUAGCCCAAGCGCCACCUACAACAUUCUCGCCCCUCUUGACAUCUGUGGACAUUUUCCGUAGGCUUCACAGCCU
rnacentral:lncRNA from 9 species